ensembl:lncRNA
CCUACUAUUGUUAUUCUUGUUAUUUUCAUCUACUUAUAUAUCCUUUUGAACUUCAACUAUCAAGGAGAUGACCAUGGGUGAUCCAGAGAAUUUAAUUCAGUUCAGUUGAGUUCCACUCCAUUUGCUUAGCGUGAGCAAUAAUUGGUCUAGGUGCUAGGAAUACAAAGAUAAAAGGAAUAGUUGCUAAGCUUAUCUGGCAAGAAGAUAUGAGAAGACAAAACUUCCUCCAAUCUUGUAAAAGUUGUGGACUAUGAUUGUCAUAUAUGGCUGAUGUGUUGCUUAUUUUAUUGUUUUUUUUUUAACUUCAUCAUGAGUUGUUUGGGGCUUGAUUUGGAAUUAAAGAUAAAGUUUAAAAAGUAUCAAUAAAAAUCAAUAAAAGUAUAGUCCCUCUCCACAAGGAGUCUGUUUUCAUGUACGUCUGGACAAUAUGAGCCUACAAAGAGGAACAAUUUAAGUUGUAACAUGAUAAGUGAAUAAAGGGUCCAAAGAGCUGAGAUUCUAGAGAGAUUCCAGAAGGGAAAGAUACAUUCUACAUAGGGUGAGGCUAGGGAGAAUCAGGAAAGGUUUGAUGGAUGUGGAGCUACUUGGCCCUGUUCUUAACAGAAGAGGAGGAUAUCAAAAGGAAACCACUGAACAGAAAACGGACAAAAGACAACAGCAAGGAAACGUAUACAAAAAAAUUCAGUCCUCCUUGGCUGUGCCUUGAGCUACCUGAGGUCUUGGGCAUAGAGGAAACAAAGGGUUCGACUAUGAUGACUGUCAGAAAAUGCAAAAGGUGAUCCUUGUGGAACAAACUCUUUGCCUAUUUAAAGGAUGAAGUUGGUGAUCAAUGACACAUGUAAACCCAGUGGAAUUGCACAUCAGUUGUGAGAGGGGGUUGGAGGGAGGGAAGGGAAAGAGCAUGAAUCUUGUAACCAAAAUUACUCUAAAUUGUCUAAUUAAAUAAAAUUUAAAAAAAAUAAAGGAUGAAGUUGGCC